CUAAAUUGCAGACGAUGUCUUUAAUUUUUCGAAUUUUAAAUAUAAAUUUUGAAUAUUUACACGAAUUAAUUUAUCAGUUGUAAAAGACGGCACCAGAUGGCAGACGUCGAAUCGACCCUUCUAGAAAAUUCUGGAAGUGGCCAUUUUAAGUGGGAAGUGAGGCAAUUUAACAAUCAGAAAUGUCGAGUUCUCACCAUUCUUAUAAUUACAGAGAAAUAUUUGUUGAGAGCUAACUGCAUUGCCGACGUUCACUUCAAAGGCGCAGGAAGUCUUCUAAUUGAGCCACGAGUUUCCGGGAUUGCAAUCAGAAAGAUGAAAAAAAAACCAGAAAUUUUGUUUGCAGCACAAAAUUUCUGGUUUUCCCUCUUUCUUUAUAUGGAAAAAAAAGAUUUUUCGUAAUUACUCAGUAGAAAGAUCAAAAUGUAGUUAAAUUAUAGAGCGUUGAUUAUAUAUUCUGCAAAAUUCUAUAUAAUCUCUGACAUAUUAUUAUUGGUAUAUUAAUGGUUCAAAAUAUAUAAAAUGUCACGAGUCAAGUAGUUUAAAAGAUAAUGAUUCAAAAUAUAUAAGCGUACAAACUCAUUAAUAUAUACUAAAAUAAGGGUUCAGAAAUAUAUAUUUUUGGUCAAAAAAAGAGGAUUUU
rnacentral:lncRNA from 1 species